GACGAACCGUGCGAACGUUAUUCGGAAUCACUGGGCUUAAAGCGCGUGUAGGCGGGCCGGUACGUCGGUCGCUGAAAGCCCCCGGCUCAACCGGGGAAGCGGCGGCGAUACGACCGGCCUGGAGGGGGGUAGGGGGACCUGGAACUUCCGGUGGAGCGGUGAAAUGCGUUGAGAUCGGAAGGAACGCCCGUGGCGAAAGCGAGGUCCUGGACCCUUUGCUGACGCUGAGACGCGAAAGCCAGGGGAGCGAACGGG
rnacentral:rRNA from 1 species